rnacentral:rRNA from 1 species
ACGAGCCCCAGCUUAAAACUCAAAGGACUUGACGGUAUCCUAACCAACUAGAGGAGCCUGUUCUAUAAUCGAUGAUCCACGAUAUACCAAACCACUUCUUGCUUAUCAGCCUGUAUACCUCCGUCGUAAGCUUACCAUUUGAAUGCACUUAGUAAUGCUUAAGGACCACUACGCCAAAACGUCAGGUCAAGGUGCAGCCCACGAAGUGGAAGCAAUGGGCUACAAUUUCUAACUUAGAACAAACAAAACAUUAUAUGAAACAUAAUCAUAAGGAGGAUUUAGCAGUAAAUAGGAAAUAGAGAGCCUUAUUAAAUUUGGCCCUAGGAUGUGUACACACC